rnacentral:rRNA from 1 species
AUACGGAGGGUGCAAGCCGUUGUUCGGAAUUAUUGGGCCGUAAAGCGCGUGUAGGCGGUCUUUUAAGUCUGAUGUGAAAGCCCCCGGGCUCAACCUGGGAAGUGCAUUGGAAACUGGGAGACUUGAGUACGGGAGAGGAGAGUGGAAUUCCUAGUGUAGGAGUGAAAUCCGUAGAUAUUAGGAGGAACACCCGGUGGCGAAGGCGGCUCUCUGGACCGAUACUGACGCUGAGACGCGAAAGCGUGGGUAGC